rnacentral:rRNA from 1 species
AUUGAACGCUGGCGGCAGGCCUAACACAUGCAAGUCGAACGAGUGGCGGACGGGUGAGUAAUGUCUGGGAAACUGCCUGCUGGAGGGGGAUAACUACUGGAAACGGUAGCUAAUACCGCAUAACAUCAGAUGUGCCCAGAUGGGUUUAGCUUGUGGGUGGGGUAUAGGCUCACCAAGGAGACGAGCCCUAGCUGGUCUGAGAGGAUGACCAGCAACACUGGAACUGAGACACGGUCCAGACUCCUACGUGAGGCGGCAGUGGGGAAUAUUGCACAAUGGGCGCAAGCCUGAUGCAGCCAUGCCGCGUGUAUGAAGAAGGCCUUCGGAUUGUAAAGUACUUUCAGCGGGGAGGCGUUACCCACAGAAGAAGCACCGGCUAACUCCGUGCCAGCAGCCGCGGUAAUAC